rnacentral:sRNA from 1 species
CUUCCGAUGUUGGCCCGUAAAGUUCACCUGCACUAUGGGCCUGAUUUCGUGCAGGUGUUUUCUC